rnacentral:lncRNA from 1 species
CCCCACCAUCUUGAUCUACUAUCAGCCAUCCCAUCUCUUUGACAAUAAUGAGUUCAUCCUACUGUCCUGCUUCAUUGUUGAUCCUAUCAGAAAGCAUCUCAGCAUCGAUGGUCCUUGUGAAUUAGGAAGAGCUAAACAGCGAGUGGUAUGCAUAGAGUGAUGGGGAGAAGUAUUGCAAAGGUGACACAGAUCUUGUGGCACAGCUACCACC